rnacentral:rRNA from 1 species
GACCUUAACCUGCUUAAUAGCCAGGCCGGCUUUUGCUGGUCGCCGGCUUCUUAGAGGGACUGUCAGCGUCUAACCGACGGAAGUUUGAGGCAAUAACAGGUCUGUGAUGCCCUUAGAUGUUUUGGGCCGCACGCGCGCUACACUGACAGAGCCAGCGAGUUUUUUUCCUUGGCCGGAAGGUCUGGGUAAUCUUGUGAAACUCUGUCGUGCUGGGGAUAGAGCAUUGCAAUUAUUGCUCUUCAACGAGGAAUUCCUAGUAAGCGCGAGUCAUCAGCUUUGCGUUGAUUAC